UCAGGAUUGCUUUGGCAAUUCUGGGUCUAUUAUGGUUCCAUAUAAAUUUUUGGAUUAUUUGUUCUAGUUGUGAAAAAUGCUGUGGGUAAUUUGAGAGGGAUCACAUUAAAUCUGUAGACUGUCAUGGGUAAUAUGGCCAUUUUAAUAAUAUUAAUUCUUCCAAUCCAGGAGCAUGGGAUAUUUUUCCAUUUCUUUGAAUCCUCCUUAAUUUCCUUUAUUAGUAUCUUGUAGUUCUCAGUGUAUAUGUCUUUCAUCUCCAUGGUCAGGUUUAUUUCUAGGUUUUUGGUUUUUGUUGUUUUUGGUGUGAUUUUAAAAGGUAAUUUUUACAUUCCCUUUCUGGUAUUUCAUUUUUAGUAUACUGAAACACAACUGAGGAGUUCCUAUUAUGGCACAGUUGGAAACGAAUCUAACUAGGAACCAUGAGGUUACAGGUUCAAUCCCUGUCCUUGCUCAGAGGGUUAAGGAUCCAGCAUUGCUGUGAGCCAUGGUAACAGAUGCAGCUUGGAUCUGGUAUUGCUAUGGCUGUGGCUGUGGCUGGCAGCUGUAGCUCCAAUUAGACCCCUAGCCUAGGAACCUCCAUAUGCCACGGGUUUGGCUCUAAAAAGCAAAAGAAAAGAAAAGAAAUUCAACUGAUUUCUGAAUGUUAAUCUUUUAUCCUGCUACUUUGUUAAAUUUGUUUAUGAAAUUUAGUACUUUUUGUGCAGAGUCCUUAGGGUUUUCUAUGUAUAGUAUCAUGUCAUCUGCAUAUAGUGACAAUUUUACCUCUUCCAAUGUGGAUACCUUUUAUUUCUUUUUCUUGCCUGAUUGCUGUGGCUAGGACUUCCAAUACUAUGUUGAAUAAAAAUGGUGAAAGCAGGUGUGCUUGUCUUGUUCCAGAUUUUAACAAGAAAGCUUUCAGCUUUUCUCCAUUGAUUUUGCUAGGUAUUGCCAAAUUCCUUUCAGAAUUUUUAUGUCAGCUAGUGUUCCUAUUGUAAUGUAUGACAAUAAGAAAUGUUGUUAUUAUAUUUUUUAAUAUUUGCUAAUCUGAUAGAUGAGAAAUAUACCAAGCCUAUUUUUAAUUAGAAUUUAGUUGAAAAUUUAAGACUAAACUCUAAGCAUAUUAAUUUUUCGUAUAUUUGAGUCUAUAUACAUUUCAUGAAUUUUCUUUUUUAAUCUUUUCCUCUUUUUCUAUUGCUUUUCUUUAUCCUUUGUCUCUUAGUUUUUAAGAGUUCCUUACAAAUUAGGGAUAUUAGCCCUUCUUCUAUGAUAUAUGUUGCAAAUAUUGUGUCCCAGUUCAUCAGUUAUCCUUCGAUAUUGUUUAUAGGAUAUUUUUGCCAUGUGAAAUAUUUUAAUUAUGUCAUUAAAUUUAUAAAUCUUUUAUUACCUCUGGAUUUUAGGACAUAGUUAGAAAGCCUUUUCCUACCCUAAGGUUAAGGAGAAAUUCACCCAUAUUUUCUUCCAAUGCAUGUAUGGUUUUAUCUAUCAUAUCUUUACAAGAACAUUUUCAUUCAAGUGAAAUCAACUUGGAAUAAAUCAGGUUAACAGAAAGGUGGACCAUUAAGUUAGCCAUGAUAGAGAGCAAAGCUUUACCUUGAAAUAGUUAGAGGUAAAGCCAGUGCUUGUCACAGCUUAUAGGAUGGCACAGCUCUGUCUCUGCCUGCCUCUCUACCUUCAUCUCUCCACAACCAGGAUAACAUUCUCCACCAGAGCUAAGCUCUGAUAUCUCCCUGGAAAUGUACCCUAAGGCCAGAUUUAUGAUCUCUUAUUAGCAAAAACAGAGAGUGACAGCUUCCUGCAAAGGAGCAAUUCAAGUUUGUAUUCUUUGAGGUUGGAAUCUUAACCUUGGGGUGAAACAUUCAAAGGUACAUAAUAGGCGUUUCUGACUUGCUCUCAUGGUAUGUGUUGCUACGUUUGACUUAAUACUUUUUUUGUGCCCAAGAUUUUUUCCCUUUCUGGGUAAUUGGUAAAGAAAAUGAUCUUGCCUCCCAAGGAGUUUACCUCCUGUUUGGAAGAUAUUUCCACAGUUCACAGAUUCUUCUGCUCCCAAAGUAGUGUUGUAGUCUUUACCCAAAAGAGUCCCUCCACACUUGGAAAGCUUCCAAGGAUACCCCUGUGAUUUAGUGAGUGAAUGCUGCUGGAUGGCUCCAUGGACAUGAGAGAUGGUUUGGAGAGGCAAAACGAGUGUCUUUAGACUGAAAGAAGUGGGAGGAUUUUUGAUGAAAACCAAAAAUGACAAGUUACAGGUUCACACGAUAAUACAGUUUUUCUGCAAAAUGUUUCAUGCUAUGCAGCUAGCUCAAAGACUGCCCUUUGAAAAACUGAGAAUAGCUCUCAUCUCUAAACAGCUCCAUAGUGUUGGGCCAUUAUCACCCCUGAUGAGAAGACACCAUCUGCCCAAACUCACAUUGGAGGAUUCCCUCCAACAGGCAACUUACAAGUACAAUGAAUUUUUUAAUUGGAAAAUGCUGCUGUUUCAUUUUGUCUAUUUCCCACUCAUUUAUCCAAUGCCCAAGCAGCAUCUUUGUCUUAGUGAUGUUUCAUCCUGUUGUUUAUUCCACGCUGAAGUGGUAAUCUUCUCUGUGACGUCUUAACCCAUAAGUGGUUGCUAUGGAAAUGAUUAGAAUGUCACACAUAAAAGGACACCUUUGGUUGGGCAUGAUCCAGACCAUAUAAACUCUUAGAGACACUAUUUAAGGUUAAUGUUCCAAUGAGAAAUUAGGGAGAAAAUAGAUUUCUGGAAACAUAAACCUAUUGAUACAAGUAAAAUAUUUCCAGGUCAGGAAACUUGGUCAUCUCUAGUAAUUCCAGAAUGUAAACUAUAGUGGUGAAAUUUUUCACAGUAACUUGUUUUCCUUCUUCGCAUUAAUUGUUUCCUACACAGUUUUUUAAAUGUCUUUGUAAAUGGAUCUUUUCUCCAAAUCAUUCAGAUAAGUAUGUGUUACAAACAUCUGAAAGGACAAGAAUGAGCCAAAGCUGCCAAAGAAACUCUAAAAUUUCAAGCCCAUAUAAAUAAGUACAAAUGUCAUGAGCUAACUCCACCACCUACAUAUUGGAAACAGCAUUUGAAGCCACCCUCACCUGUAAACAUAUAUUUUUCUCUCUUUCAGUUUUAAAAAAGAUCAGUGUUGUUUUGCAUCGUAAGUCAUUCAAAUGCAUAUCAUUUCAGUGCCUGGAGAUGUUGGGUGUAAUUAUUCACAUUUGCAAGAAACAAGAAGACAUCUUUUGGUCAUAAAUUAGCAGUAAUGGUACAUGCAAUUUAGUACUUAUUUAUAUUAGUGCUUUUCCAAAGUGUUUAAAGACGACUUUUCAGAGCAAUUCCCUGGGAAGUAAACCUGUUCCCUAUUAAGGCAAGGGUGGCACAAGUAAUUAUAUUGAUCUCAUGCCGCACCGACCGACUCUAGCCAUUGUCCACCCUGCAGGUGGCAAAUCCACUUCAUCCCAUCCAACCACGUAUAUCCCAGGCUCCAUGUAAAAUCCACAUGUAAUGAGAAGACAAUGCAUUUUUUACUUCAAAAUAGUCAUUUAUAUCUAUGUCUGGUAUGUUCGUGGAAAUGAUUCCAUUAUCUUUUUUUUUUUCAGCAAGCAUUUGUUGAGUCCCUACUAGGAGUUGGGCCUGUUCUAGUUUGACAUUUAAUUGGCCCAUACUGCCAUUGAUUAUCUUUUUCCCUUAUGCUCUGACUCUAAGAUGAAGAUUUGUAAGUCAAAGAGAGGCUCUCUACCAAGAGGAAGGAUCUUUUCCUACCUGAAUGCAUGCUCGAUCUAAAUUGGAAGCCAAGUAGCAACCUUUCCCGCUUCCAUUUUACCACCUCUCUGAGUGUGCUGAGUUCAUGUGUGGGGUUCCUCCAACAGCACACUCAUUGCCAGACUUCUGGGAAGGCAGCAGGAGCACCAAGGCUCAGAAAAGCUACCUCAGACAUGAAGAUGGGUUUAUUCCAGUGGGAAAAGCUUCUUCCAUCCAAGAUAGACAGAAUGUGCUUGCUGUCAAAUCCGUCAUAACUAUACCAUGUAAAGCUAU
rnacentral:lncRNA from 1 species